rnacentral:rRNA from 1 species
ACGGGGACCCGCACAAGCGGUGGAUGAUGUGGUUUAAUUCGAUGCAACGCGAAAACCUUACCCACCUUUGACAUGGCAGGAAUCCUAAAGAGAUUUGGGAGUGCUCGAAAGAGAACCUGCACACAGGUGCUGCAUGGCUGUCGUCAGCUCGUGUCGUGAGAUGUUGGGUUAAGUCCCGCAACGAGCGCAACCCUUGCCAUUAGUUGCUACGAAAGGGCACUCUAAUGGGACUGCCGGUGACAAACCGGAGGAAGGUGGGGAUGACGUCAAGUCCUCAUGGCCCUUAUAGGUGGGGCUACACACGUCAUACAAUGGCCGGUACAGAGGGUAGCCAACCCGCGAGGGGGAGCCAAUCCCACAAAGCCGGUCGUAGUCCGGAUCGCAGUCUGCAACUCGACUACGUGAAGUCGGAAUCGCUAGUAAUCGCGGAUCAGCAUGUCGCGGUGAAUACGUUCCCGGGUCUU